GUGGGGAAUCUUCCGCAAUGGACGAAAGUCUGACGGAGCAACGCCGCGUGAGUGAUGAAGGCCUUCGGGUUGUAAAACUCUGUUGUCAGGGACGAAAGCACCGAUCUAUAAUACAUUUUGGUGUUGACGGUACCUGACGAGGAAGCCACGGCUAACUACGUGCCAGCAGCCGCGGUAAUACGUAGGUGGCAAGCGUUGUCCGGAAUUAUUGGGCGUAAAGAGCAUGUAGGCGGGCUUUUAAGUCCGACGUGAAAAUGCGGGGCUUAACCCCGUAUGGCGUUGGAUACUGGAAGUCUUGAGUGCAGGAGAGGAAAGGGGAAUUCCCAGUGUAGCGGUGAAAUGCGUAGAUAUUGGGAGGAACACCAGUGGCGAAGGCGCCUUUCUGGACUGUGUCUGACGCUGAGAUGCGAAAGCCAGGGUAGCAAACGGGAUUAGAAACCCGAGUAGUCC
rnacentral:rRNA from 1 species